CCCCCCCCNNNNUUUAGAGUUUGCUCCNCNCUCAGGACGAACGCUGGCGGCGUGCCUNAUACAUGCAAGUCGAACGCACUCUCGUUUAGAUUGAAGGAGCUUGCUCCUGAUUGAUAAACAUUUGANUGAGUGGCGGACGGGUGAGUAACACGUGGGUAACCUGCCCUAAAGUGGGGGAUAACAUUUGGAAACAGNUGCUAAUACCGCAUAAAACCUAACACCGCAUGGUGUAGGGUUGAAAGAUGGUUUCGGCUAUCACUUUAGGAUGGACCCGCGGUGCAUUAGUUAGUUGGUGAGGUAAAGGCUCACCAAGACCGUGAUGCAUAGCCGACCUGAGAGGGUAAUCGGCCACACUGGGACUGAGACACGGCCCAGACNUCCUACGGGAGGCAGCAGUAGGGAAUCUUCCACAAUGGACGAAAGUCUGAUGGAGCAACGCCGCGUGAGUGAAGAAGGUUUUCGGAUCGUAAAACUCUGUUGUUGGAGAAGAAUGUAUCUGAUUUUAACUGAUCCNGUAGNUACNACUCCCNCNCGGG
rnacentral:rRNA from 1 species